rnacentral:misc_RNA from 1 species
CAAAAACCAAGACCCGUGGGUGCGUGGGGCUUGUAAAGCGAAAUAAACGCACACCAAACUUGACCAUACGUGGCAGCUACCAGCUAGCUAGCUCUUGUAUGACCGGGCUGAACGUCUCUAGGCCCGUUGGUUGGGCUCUGGGAAAACCGAUGGUGUCCGGGAGCAACACCUCGCCCAGUAGUACACAAACAUAUCGGAACGCGAAGGGGCGGCGCGCUUCCGAGGGAUGGGAGUACGGGCAACCUGUACGAACCGAAGCGGUAAAACGCUGGCGUCAGGAUUUAAUGAGCCGGGCUAAUGCUGGACCGGCCGCCUCCCAUUCCGAAACCUACCAACCAGUCUGGACGUAUACUUUCUUGAAUGAGCCUGGACGACCUCGUCGUCCGGCGGACAGUGGCUGCUUCGCAGUGGUCGCUGCUUCCGUCCGUUGGGGGCCUACUCGCCCGGUGUCGAGGUGCGGUGUCUCUAUCUGCUGCGCAAGCAGCAGCGAGCCCGCAGAGUAACGCCGACAAAACAAAAUGACU